rnacentral:lncRNA from 1 species
CACCUUCCGGAAGACCUCCACGAAGACCCCCACUGUAGCAUCCGCUUUUUUUGGCAUCCCGGGGGUGACAUCUGGCGUGCCAGAUGUCAUUUCCGGGAUGCAAAGGAAUGGGCGCUAUAGUGAGGACAUAUCUUCUCCCGACGGAUCACGUCUGAUACGAGUUCGUCCUCUUCAAAUUGAGGAAGAGAAUUCUAUGGAAGAGUAUGGAUGGGGAGGUGGAAGAAAUGAAAGGAAAGAAGAGUAUUUUCAAGAGGAAAGUAUAAGAAAUGAUAGUGGCUCAAUGAUUCAAAUAAAUGUGGAUUUCUUGUUGGAAGAAAUGAAAGGAAAGAAG